AUUAUUAUAAUCUAUAAUUUGCAGCACUCUAAAAUUAUUAUAAAUAAAUAAAUGAAAAAUGAAAAUUACAAAUAUUGAGGGGACUAGACCAAAACCUAAUAAAAGUUAACCAAGUGAUUUUAGAAUGUCCCUUGUUAACCUAUUGGGAUAAAACCCGAGUACGGGAAAAAGGUACAUAACAACUAAACAACAUAAAGGCAACAUAAACAUAAAUCAAAGUGCAUAGGAUAUGACAUGAAAAUAAAUUAUAUGUAACAUAUAAUUAUUUUACAUAUUAAUGGUUAAUAAUCCAACCACAAACAAAAUAAGUUAACGCACAACAAGUAUUGUUCAGGAAUGUUACACCCAAUUUUGUGGUUAUUUACUCGACAAUGAAUGUGACUGUUGCAUGAAACAAACACUGCAAUGUAAAAUAACAUUAAAGUAUUUUUAUUAAAAGAGUAUGAAAUAUUGUGUCUAAUAUAAAUAAGAAAAUGAGAAAAUAAUGUCGAAAAUUACUUACCGCCAUUGGUUACAUGGAGAUAUGUAUAAAGGAAGAUUAUCAGAGCAAAAAAAACUUUGAAAUGUGAGUCAUUGUUUUGAAAAAUUUUAAAGAGAUCGUUUUUGUAAAAUGAUAUGAACUUGGCGUGAUUUUGUGAUUUCAUGGAAUUGGCCUAGGAUACUUGUAUGCCUAAGAUACAAUGGAUUAACCAUUUUAUAAGUAAAAGUUUAUUGCUUGAAUUGACAUCAAUUAAAUAAAUUAAAGCUAUUGUUAAAUGGCUCUAAGGUAUAUCAGUGUGCCAAGUUUAUCCUUUAGCGCACUCAAUUAACCAGUUAAGCAUAAUAAAGAUCUCAAAUAAAAAAAAAUUAAGCCCAUAAAAAAUUUAGUAGAUUUUUUUAUUUUUUAGCCUAUCAUGAUAGAGAGGGGACAAAAUACCCAAAGAUAAAUAAUGGCAAGGUAAUUAAAAUCGGAUCGAACCAUCUGGUUUAACUAGUUGAACCGGGAACCGGACCUAUGUCUGGUCUGAAAUAAAAAGAAAACGGGUGUUGCAACGAACCGGGAAACCAGAUAAUAAAGAUUUGUUGUGCAUAAAAAUUAAAUAACAGUAAAUAAAUAUUGUUUGGAAAAGUUAUGGAGAGAGAUGAGACUAGGUCUUCCGAAUCAUUUGAUUUUCCUUAAUUGGUACACUACACCUACUUCUCAUGAAUAUUUUUUUAGUUUUAUGAUGAUUAACUAAAAUAGCCCUAAUCAAUCCCUUGACUUAGGACCCUCUUCUCAGAUUACAACCCCUAAAUCCUUAGGUGAUCUAAUAUUCUUUGAAGGUUUGAAGAAUGUUAACCUAAUAUCACAAAUACUUGAUUGAGGUGUAUUGUUUUGAAAAAUGUCAAAAAGAUUGUUUUUGUAAAAUGAUACGAACUUGGCGUGAUUUUGUGAUUUCUUGGAAUUGGCCUUGAAUACUUGUCUGCCUAAGCUACUAUGGAUUAACCAUUUUAUAAGUAAAAGUUUAUUGCUUUACCAACAUCAAUUAAAUAUAUUUUAACACUAAAGAGGUGAAAAAUUGUUUACUAUAUUAAAGUUAUUGUUAAAUGGCUCUAAGGUAUAUCAGUGUGCCAAGUUUAUCCUUUGGCGCACUCAAUUAACCAUUUAAGCAUAAUAAGGAUCUCAAAUAAAAAAUUUAAACCCGGCAAAAAUUUAGUAGAUUUUUUAUUUUUUAGCCUAUCAUGAUAGAGAGGGGACAAAAUACCCAAAUAUAAAUAAUGGCAAGGUAAUUAAAAUCGGAUCGAACCAUCUGGUUUGACUCGUUGAACUAGGAACCAGAACUAUGUCUGGUCUGAAAUACAAAGAAAACUGGUGUCGCAACGAACCGGGAAACCAGAUAAAAACUGGAUGAACCGGGAAAACCAGCGGGCUACACGGUUUGGCAGGUUGAACCGCAUUUUACAAUUUUUUUGAAAAAAAAUCUCAAACCAGAUUUGUUAUGCCAUAAGUCUGAACUAAGAAAAGUUAUGGUGGUUUUAUAGCAAGAAGACAUAAAUCUAAGUAGAAUAAAAAUAUAGAGGAGACCAUGAAAUGGAGAUCUUGGAGAAAAAACGAAAAGGAUAAUCAUAGUUGGUGGGUUGCGUUGCUGCUAUUUAGAAAUUAGGGUUAGUGUGACAUUUAUACUUAUAAUAACUGAUAGACUUUUAGAAGGUGUACUAAAACUAUUGAACUAAUACAAUUAAUGUUGUUUCCAUGAGAACAAUAUUAAUCUCAAGUAAACGAUAGCAUUAUGAAAUAGGAUGUGUAAAGUUAUUUAGUGCCUGAGACAGUAGAUUUGUUGUGCAUAAAAAUUAAAUAACAGAAAAUAAAGAUUGUUUGGAAAAGUUAUGGAGAGAGAUGAGACUAGGUCUUUCGAAUACUUUGAUUUCCCCUAAUUGAUACACUACACCUAUUUCUCAUGAAUAUUUCUCUAGUUUUACGAUGAUUAACUAAAAUAGCUCUAAUCAAUCCCUUGACUUAGGACCCUCUUCUCAGAUUACGAUCCCUAAUUCCUUAGGUGAUCUAAUAUACUUUAAAGGUUUGAAUAACGUUAACCUAAUAUCACAAAUACUUGAUUGAGGUGUAUUGUUUUGAAAAAUGUCAAAAAGAUCGUUUUUGUAAAAUGAUACGAACUUGGCGUGAUUUUGUGAUUUCUUGGAAUUGGCCUAGGAUACUUGUAUGCCUAAGCUACUAUGGAUUAACCAUUUUAUAAGUAAAAGUUUAUUUCUCUAUUGACAUCAAUUAA
rnacentral:lncRNA from 1 species